rnacentral:rRNA from 1 species
CCUACGGGUGGCAGCAGUGGGGAAUAUUGCGCAAUGGGCGGAAGCCUGACGCAGCGACGCCGCGUGCGGGACGAAGGCCUUCGGGUCGUAAACCGCUUUCAGUAGGGACGAGGCCCACACGGUGACGGUACCUGCAGAAGAAGCCCCGGCUGACAACGUGCCAGCAGCCGCGUUAAUACGUAGGGGGCGAGCGUUAUCCGGGUUCAUUGGGCGUAAAGGGCGCGUGGGCGGCCUGGUAGGGAGGGGGUCAAAUACCGGGGCGAAACCCCGGUCCGCCCCCGAUACCGGUGGGCUGGAGUCUGGUAGGGGAAGGCGGAAUUCCCAGUGUAGCGGUGGAAUGCGUAGAUAUUGGGAAGAACACCAGCGGCGAAGGCGGCCUUCUGGGCCACGACUGACGCUGAGGCGCGAAAGCGAGGGGAGCGAACAGGAUUAGAUACCCGUGUAGUC